AACGAACGCUGGCGGCGUGCUUAACACAUGCAAGUCGAACGCGAAAGGGACCUCGGUCCUGAGUAAAGUGGCGCACGGGUGAGUAACGCGUGGAUAAUCUACCCAAUGAUCUGGGAUAACAUCUCGAAAGGGGUGCUAAUACCGGAUAAGACCACGGGAUCUCUGGAUUCUGCGGUAAAAGGUGGGGACCUUCGGGCCUACCGUCAUCGGAUGAGUCCGCGUACCAUUAGCUAGUUGGGAGGGUAAUAGCCUACCAAGGCGAUGAUGGUUAGCUGGUCUGAGAGGAUGACCAGCCACACUGGCACUGAAACACGGGCCAGACUCCUACGGGAGGCAG
rnacentral:rRNA from 1 species